GUGUGAUGUUGCAUCAGUUAAAAACGUCUUUUUUAUGACUUCUCCGACGCUGUACAGGCAGAUGUACCUUUUAUCUCCUUCCUUGCGCCUCAUCCUUGUUUUCCCAAGUUAAUGCUGUGCGUGAAUGCAUAAAGUACCACAGCAUAAAGCCUUAUAAAGACCACAGUUGAGCAGUCCUUGCUGCCACUUACUGACCAAAUCCACCAAACAGAGGACAACUUGCCGUGUUCUAUGACUUGAACACACAUCUAUACCUUUGACCGCUCCAAACCAGUGCAUCCUUGGAGACAUCUCAACACCCUGAGAACCCUCUCCGUUUCACCCCUGGUUGGGAAUCACUGAUUUAAGUGACACAAAAAAUUUGAAGAAGGGAGCCGAGCCAAAGGAACCAGCUCAGUUGAAAGAGCCGGGAUUCCCAUCACUAAUACAUUCAUACAAAUGUAGUUAGAAUAACAGUUGCACAAUUGUUGACAUGUUGCCUGGUUUGCUUCCUUCCUAGCAGGCGUGAAUAGUUGAACACGUUAAUGGAGACAAGUGCCCAUGAGUCCCUUCAGUAAAAAUUUUGCAAGACUUGCUCAUGACUUGCACAUCUCUAUUAGCAUAUUCAAUGCAUAAUAUGUAUCAAAGUGGUCCCCUGAAUCCUUCUGUAUGAGACCCUCUAACUGCUUUAUGAAUCACUCCUGCCUUUUGGAAAAAGCAGCAAUUUGGUGGCAUGCAGUUGAGCAGAAAAAAGAUGCUCAUAAGCCUCACAAAGUGCUGACCGCUGGUCCGGAAACUCUGUGAUGCCUAGUGUCGUGAUGGAAUAGACAGCAUUGCUGACUUCUGAUUUUGUGUACACUUAGUUGAAACAAAGAGCUGUGGUAAUGUCUCGUCAUUCUAGCUAAAAGGUCGGGUCGUACUGCAGUGAUGAUGCACAGCAGCUGAAUUGCAUGCCAGCUGCUUUGGGCUACUUGCUCACUUUCUCUCCUCACAUCAGCAAAUGGGCCUGGGACUGCUUAAGAGAGUCAUGCAGUGAAGUCACCUGCAUUUAGACCAUCUCCCCUGUGGUCCCCAAAGAGCCCAAGUCUUAUGACUUCUCACAUCAACACUGUGGCAGGCUGUCAAGACAGCCAGGGCCAUGCAUACUGCAUUGUCCUCCAUGUCUUCUUAAUAAGGAAUUUGACUGCACUCCCCUGGGAAUGACAGUUUGCUGAACAGGGUGAGAAGCUUUUCCUUCCUGCUCCUGAGAAAAUGAUCUGGUUAAUAUAUACCUUCAUAGUACUGUGCACCACCCCCAGCCUGGUGGUUUAAUAAGAGUGGAUAUAUUUCACUAUAUGAUGUUGACUUAAAAUAGUAAGUGGUAGAGUGAAUACAGGGUUCAGUAACAAUUAAUUAGACCAGGUAUCGGCAACCUUUACUAGCAAAAGAGCCAUUUUUCCCCCUCUUAUGCCGAAAACAUAACCCGAGUUUUAAUCUUUUCUAAUUUUACCCGUUACAACAAGAGAUUACAAAAAUGCAGUGCAGGCCUUUUUGAGUCCUUCCCGUGUGACUUAUGUAAAAUUAAAAUAAAACAUAGCACACUUUAAUAUAAAUGGUUUGGGCAUCAAACAUGCCCAAACCAAUUUUGAGGUGAUUAACAAGAAUGGCGCAGCUACUCAUUACCGAGUCCUUUUCUGAACAUUUUAUUUCCAUUUUAGGAGGGUUUCGUGUUUUUUUUUUUGAGCUAUGGACUUAAAAUUUUGAUCAGCUGAUGAACAGACUAUUUCAGUUUAAUGGUUGUUUGCAAUAAAUUGCUUAAGAUUU